rnacentral:lncRNA from 1 species
AGAGAAAGCAGAAAGGACUGGAUGGCCUGAUGUGGACACGCUUCUUGGAAGUGGUGGGCCUUGAGAAGUCAUGUAGGGAGGAUACAGUUGGCUGGCUCUCCAGGCCCGGUGGCAGCAACUCAAUCUAGCUCUGUCCUUGCCUCCACGGAGCCUUCCAUAUAUUGUCAUAGAACCUCCCCCACCGCCAUUGUCUCACUAUCCCAGACUGUUGCUAAGCAAUCAGAGGCUUUGGAGAUUGACCCAGCUCCAGGCACAGGCUCUGAUUGGGCUAAGCCAAUCAUCAUAAUUCCAUCAGACCUUGCCCCAGACCUAAGUCAGUCAGCAUAUGGCUUUCCUUUAGUUCUAGCUAAAGGAACGAGAAUGGACACUUGAUCGAAUUGAGGCCAUAAGAGAUGAGGGAAGAUGCAAGGAGCUUCUGGAAAAGGAAUGACCCCAAGUUUAUCAGAAGGCUCCUGUGGCUCCAGGGUCAACUCUGGGCAUAUCUGACUACAUCACUCCACCCCUACCAUGGUCUCUCCUCUGUACCCCAGCGUUCCAGGGUACUGUCUUCUGAGAGCGCACUUGUCUGCCAACCCCAGUAGCCAGGACUCAGCAUACCUGGCAAACACCUUCAAAACUAGCAAAUCAUGCUGGCUAUCUGCCCCAGGUAGGGCCUUAGCAACUGGCUUCAAGUUGAGAUAAAGUGACAGUGCUUUUCAGGGAUACAGUUUGAAGAUUUCCUGGGCUAUUGUUGCUUCUGGGGUGUUAGGAUUCUAAUAAUUACAACAGGACCCUGUGUAUGUGGUGGGGUUGGAGAGAGCAUCUCAGUACCUCUCCAAGUUCAUCCUCACUAUCUUGAACUGGGGUAUCUUACAUCUCUAUACCAGUGUUUUGCAACCCUGGCUGUACAAACACCAAUGCAGGGGUCUUACCCCUACAGAUUCUGAUUAAUUCAUCUGGUUUGGGGCCUGGGCAUUGGUAUUUGUAAAGUUCUCCAGGUGAUUCUCGUGUGUAGCCAGGGUUGAGAACCACUUUAAGGCCUUUCUGCCUCAGUCAGGGAGGCAAGAGGCUGCAGGUGAUUUUGAGGGAGAAGGGUCAAUAGAGUAAGGGAGGAAGAAACAGGAAACUAGCAGAGUCCCCGGGGGGAGAGAAUGUGUUAUCCUAAAGACCCUUGGUCACAGCCAUGCAGCUGGGCAAACAGAUAACGCCUGGUGGAACAACAGAAGCUGGACCAUGAGAAGGGCAGACAGCAGAAAAUGCCCAGAGAAGGGUUCAAUUUCUUCUUUGGAAGGUGAUGGUAAGGGUGUGGCUCCAGAUUAACUGGUUCUACAGCUCCAGGCAAGGGAGAUGGAAGGCUGAGGGGAGCAGGUCCAUCAGGGAGCAGUUGGGGGAGAACCUAGAGAGGCACUGUCUGUACACUCCAGGGCCAGUGCCCAAGGCCAGAUGCUCCUCAUCUAUUCUCUAAACCACCCCAGGAUCCUCUUGAAGCUUAAGCUAGUUUAGAUUGAGCUUCUGUCACUUUCAACUGAAGCUUGACUAGUAAAAACUCCUGAGGUUAAAGCCUCUAUUGGGUAAAAGAAUUAGAACCAGUGGGAUAGUCCCAGAAAAGAGCUGUGUGGGCUAGGGGCACUGUGAAGACCCAGGGGACAUUGGAACCUGGCCCUGUGCUGUCUUCCAGGAGGAGUGGUACACCCCAGAGAAAUGGCCAGGUACGUGAAACUAAAGAAUCAUGCUUGGAGUGCUGAGAUCCAUUUGUCUGAGCAGGAACACACCCUAAGAUGGGCCUAGGCUGUGGAAGCUGACACUUUCACUGUGGCCAGGCAGCGUGCUCGCUCAUGAAUGGGAGCAGGGUGGGGGAACUUGGCUGUGAGAAUUGGGAGUCCUCCAGUGGUGAGUCUGGGUUCUGGCUGUGGUGGUAAUGGGGUAGGAAACAGGACUUUCAGAACAGCACCCUGGAGUAUCCAUUUGGAAGGAAGUGGAUAAUGCUUUUGGGGGAGAAAGAAAAAUUUGAAAGACAGGUUCUAAUGGGUGGGAGAGGGAAUGUCUGCCUCUUGGGACCAGAUUUGGAGGAAGGCAGGUGUCUGGGUGCCCACUAUAUUGUAGGGGUGGGGAGCUCUGCUCAGGACAGGAACCCUAAAGAACAAGUCAUACCCCUUAAAUCAGAUUUACAUUGAGGGAAAAAAGGAGUUCACUACGAGAGCCUAUCCAAGUCCCUAAACAAACAAGCAAACAACAAAAACAAGCCCGAGAGGGGGGAAGGGAUAUCAGAAUUCAGAGUUACUACAAUAUAUUUCCUAAAAAGUUUAAUUUUCAACAAAAAACCAUGAGAUAUACAAAUAAACAUGACCCAUACAUAGGGGGAAAAAAGCAGACAACAGAAACUGCCUAUGAAAGAGGCCAGAUAUCAGAUUUAACAGACCAAGACUUCAAACCAGCCAUUAAAGCUAUGUUUAAAGAACUAAAGGAAACUAUGAUUUAAAAAAGUAGAAGAAGGUAUGGUGACAAUUUCUCAACAAAUAGAGACUAUCGAUAAGGUAAACCAUUAAAAAAUAAUCCAAUGAAUUCUGGAAUUGCAGAGUAUAAUAAUUGAAACAAAAAAUUCACUAGAGAGGAACAAUAGUGGAUUUGAACUUGCAGAAGAAACGAUCAGCAAACUUGAAGAUAGGCAGUAGAGAUUAUGCAAUCCAAAGAACAAAGAGAAAAAAGAAUGAAGGAAAACAGAGCCUCAAAAAAAGUCGGGGGGCACCAUUAGGCACACCAACAUACUCAUAAUGGGAAUUCCAGAAGGAGAGAUGAGAGAAAAGAGCAGAGAAAGUAAUUGAAGAAGCAAUGGCUGAAAAUUAGCCAAGUUUGAUGAAAAAGAUUAAUCUACACAUUUAAGAAAGCUCAGCAAACUCCAAGUAAGUUAAACACAAAUAUAUCCACACCUAAGCUCAUCAUACUAAAAAUGCUGAGAGACAAAGUUUUCAAAGCAGCAAGAGAAAAAGAACAAAUCACAUUCAAGGGAACCUCAAUAAGAUCAAUAGCUGAAUUCUCAUCAGAAACAAUGGAGGCCAAAAGGUAAUGGGUAACAUAUUCAAAAUGCUGAACAAAAAACAACUCUCAAG